CCUACGGGUGGCAGCAGUGAGGAAUAUUGGUCAAUGGGCGCGAGCCUGAACCAGCCAAGUCGCGUGAGGGAAGACGGUCCUAAGGAUUGUAAACCUCUUUUGUCGGGGAGCAAAAGACGCCACGCGUGGCGUUCCGAGAGUACCCGAAGAAAAAGCAUCGGCUAACUCCGUGCCAGCAGCCGCGGUAAUACGGAGGAUGCGAGCGUUAUCCGGAUUUAUUGGGUUUAAAGGGUGCGCAGGCGGAAGAUCAAGUCAGCGGUAAAAGUGAGAGGCUCAACCUCUUCGAGCCGUUGAAACUGGUUUUCUUGAGUGAGUGAGAAGUAUGCGGAAUGCGUGGUGUAGCGGUGAAAUGCAUAGAUAUCACGCAGAACUCCGAUUGCGAAGGCAGCAUACCGGCGCUCAACUGACGCUCAUGCACGAAAGUGUGGGUAUCGAACAGGAUUAGAUACCCCAGUAGUC
rnacentral:rRNA from 1 species